UACAGAGGGUGCGAGCGUUAAUCGGAAUUACUGGGCGUAAAGCGUGCGUAGACGGUUUCGUAAGUCGGGUGUGAAAUCCCCGGGCUCAACCUGGGAAUUGCAUUCGAAACUGCGAGGCUAGGGUACGGAAGAGGGAAGCGGAAUUUCUGGUGUAGCGGUGAAAUGCGCAGAUAUCAGGAGGAACACCGGUGGCGAAGGCGGGUCUCUGGACAGUUCCUGACGCUGAGGCACGAAGGCCAGGGGAGCAAACGGG
rnacentral:rRNA from 1 species